rnacentral:rRNA from 1 species
UACGGGGGGAGCAAGCGUUGUUCGGAUUUACUGGGCGUAAAGGGCGCGUAGGCGGUCAGCACAAGUCAGUUGUGAAAUCUCCGGGCUUAACUCGGAAAGGUCAACUGAUACUGUGCGACUAGAGUGCAGAAGGGGCAACUGGAAUUCUCGGUGUAGCGGUGAAAUGCGUAGAUAUCGAGAGGAACACCUGCGGCGAAGGCGGGUUGCUGGGCUGACACUGACCCUGAUGCGCGAAAGCCAGGGGAGCGAACGGG